rnacentral:lncRNA from 1 species
UUAACAGGGAGGUGCACGAGAUCGGCGGUGCUGAGAUCCUCUCGAUUCGAUGCAAAUCGGCGACGGGGAAGGUGCCAAGAUGUCGGAUCCAAUGGCCCUGCUCCAUUCCCGACGGUGGAAGCUCGAUCCGGCGGGGGUGGGCAUGUGAGCGAGCUCCAAUUCAUGACAGUUGUCCCGCCGUUCGUUCCUGAGAAGCAGAGUGAGACAGAAC